GCCCCCGUAGCUCAGUGGUAGAGCAGGAGACAGCGUCUUCAGGCCGCUGGUUCGAAUCCAGCCGGGGGCA
rfam:Phytophthora parasitica INRA-310 unplaced genomic scaffold supercont2.10, whole genome shotgun sequence.